rnacentral:rRNA from 1 species
GUGCCAGCAGCCGCGGUAAUACGUAGGGUGCGAGCGUUAAUCGGAAUUACUGGGCGUAAAGCGUGCGCAGGCGGUUUGGUAAGACAGAUGUGAAAUCCCCGGGCUUAACCUGGGAACUGCAUUUGUGACUGCCAAGCUAGAGUAUAGCAGAGGGGGGUAGAAUUCCACGUGUAGCAGUGAAAUGCGUAGAUAUGUGGAGGAAUACCGAUGGCGAAGGCAGCCCCCUGGGUUAAUACUGACGCUCAUGCACGAAAGCGUGGGGAGCAAACAGGAUUAGAUACCCCCGUAGUCC